rnacentral:rRNA from 1 species
AGCCUGAACGCUGGCGGCGUGGCUAAGACAUGCAAGUCGUACGGGUGUAGCAAUACACCAGUGGCGAACGGGUGAGUAAUGUAUCGCUAAUGUGCCCCGGAUUCUGGGAUAGCUAUCCGAAAGGGUAGGUAAUACCAGAUGAUAUAACUUUGCCGCAUGGCAGAGUUCUCAAAGGAGUAAUCCGCUCUGGGAGCAGGCGAUAUCGUAUCAGCUAGUUGGUGAGGUAACGGCUCACCAAGGCGACGACGCGUAGCCGGACUGAGAGGUUGGCCGGCCACAUUGGGACUGAGACACUGCCCAGACUCCUACGGGGGGCUGCAGUAACGAAUCUUCCGCAAUGCACGAAAGUGUGACGGAGCGACGCCGCGUGUGGGACGAAGCCCUUCGGGGUGUAAACCGACUGUCAGGGGUUAGAAAGUUCUGAUCAACCCCAGAGGAAGGCACGGCUAACUCUGCGCCAGCAGCCGCGGU